GAAGGACGAAAAAGCGCGCGCAGCCGGCUCAGUUGUUGUUCGGUGCCCGUACCGAUGGUGCCUCGCUGCUGUUGCUGCUGAGAGAGUACCAAAGGUCCUGCGGUGGUACCCGGGCCGAAAGGUGGUACUUCAAAGGGGUUGACUUGUUACGGUACGACCAGCCAGCGUCGCCAGCCGGCCUCAACAACAACAACGCAAACGGCGGCAAUUGACCCAUGUGCACGCGCCCAUCUGGCCGCAGAAUCCCCUUAUUCCCGGCCCCGGUACCACCCCAACGACCCCGAGGUACCACCCAUGGUACUACACCCCCGGAACUACCCCGGUACCACCUGGAAUCAACCCUUAGUAGGCUGGGAUGGUCUAGGGAGGCGAUGGAAGUGAACAGGUGCGAUCGUGGGGGGUUCCCCUGUCCCCGCGAACCGCCGCGUCGCUCAAGAGAGAAGAGAGAAGUCGGUCACAGCAGAAGACGCGGCGUUGGUACUACCGGCGAGGCGGUCGGCGGUGCUGCAAAGUGACGGCGGCGCCGAAGAGGUCAGCCGAGAGGUCGAAGCGGUACCGCGGACAGAGGAUGACCGAUGGCUAGCUGUAGUAGGAUGUACGUCAGUCAGCAGGUGGAUUUUUGGGUCGUGUGGGUUCAGGAUAGAAGAAAAAUUAGUUUUAGUUAAUGAUCUAGAAUCUAGAUGUAACUAUAAGUUAUUAAGUAAAUAUUUAGUUCAUAAUAUUUUUGUGCCAUUUUAUUUGAUAAGGUUGAGACUGAACUGACUGUAUUUUAUAUUAUUUUUAAGGCCUUGGCUGAAAAAAAAGCUUUAAUUCUAUUCUUAAUGACACUUUUUUAUAUUUUUUUAGGUUAAAUAAAUUUGUUGAUUGCACUAUUGGUGCAUGAAUGCAACACUUA